rnacentral:rRNA from 1 species
GACGAACGCUGGCGGCGUGCUUAACACAUGCAAGUCACGGGGGUCCGCAAGGGAUAACCGCGAACGGGUGCGUAACACGUGAACAACCUGCCCUCGUGUGGGGGAGUAGCCGGGCUAACGCCCGGGUAAUACCGCAUACGUUCCUCUGGGGGAGGUCCCUGGGGGAGGAAAGCUCCGGCGCACGGGGAGGGGUUCGCGGCCUAUCAGCUAGUUGGCGAGGUAACGGCUCACCAAGGCGACGACGGGUAGCUGGUCUGAGAGGAUGGCCAGCCACACUGGAACUGAGACACGGUCCAGACACCUACGGGUGGCAGCAGUCGAGAAUUUUUCUCUAAUGGGGGAAACCCUGAAGAGCGACGCCGCGUGGAGGAUGAAGGCUUU